rnacentral:rRNA from 1 species
UACAGAGGUCUCAAGCGUUGUUCGGAUUCAUUGGGCGUAAAGGGUGCGUAGGUGGCGCCGUAAGUCAGGUGUGAAAUUUCGGAGCUUAACUCCGAAACUGCAUUUGAUACUGCGGUGCUUGAGGACUGGAGAGGAGACUGGAAUUCACGGUGUAGCAGUGAAAAUGCGUAGAUAUCGUGAGGAAGACCAGUGGCGAAGGCGGGUCUCUGGACAGUUCCUGACACUGAGGCACGAAGGCCAGGGGGAGCAAACGGG